rnacentral:rRNA from 1 species
GACGAACGCUGGCGGCGUGCCUAAUACAUGCAAGUUGAGCGCUGAAGGUUGGUACUUGUCCCAACUGGAUGAGCAGCGCACGGGUGAGUAACGCGUGGGGAAUCUGCCUUUGAGCGGGGGACAACAUUUGGAAACGAAUGCUAAUACCGCAUAAAAACUUUAAACACAAGUUUUAAGUUUGAAAGAUGCAAUUGCAUCACUCAAAGAUGAUCCCGCGUUGUAUUAGCUAGUUGGUGAGGUAAAGGCUCACCAAGGCGAUGAUACAUAGCCGACCUGAGAGGGUGAUCGGCCACAUUGGGACUGAGACACGGCCCAAACUCCUACGGGAGGCAGCAGUAGGGAAUCUUCGGCAAUGGACGAAAGUCUGACCGAGCAACGCCGCGUGAGUGAAGAAGGGUGUCGGAUCGUAAAACUCUGUUGGUAGAGAAGAAAGUUGGUGAGAGUGGAAAGCUCAUCAAGUGACGGUAACUACCCAGAAAGGGACGGCUAACUACGUG